CCAAGUUGGGUAUAUAUGUUGCAUGUACUUGCAUGGCCAUGAUAAUUCCUGUUGUAGAUAAACAUAACAUGCUUUGUUGCACGAAGAUGCCUCACCAUUCGGUAGUCCUGACUAAGUGAAAAGAAGAAAAUUGACCCGAGUCCAUAUCUGAGUGCCUGCAGCCUUUUAGCUUCUAUCUAUUGGAAGUACCUCGUCAUCCUCCCACUGCAUCCUCUUAAUAGUGCCUCACCCUCUCUUUGUUUGUCCGUCCCAUUAUCUCUUUUAUUCUUCUACAUUCAUUUCUUUUUUCACAAGACGUCUAAUGUGAGGUAAACUAGCUCUAUUUAUAACUGGUCUGUCUUUGUGGUGAUGGUCCUCGGGCAACUUGUUUUCACAGAUCAACUGCAUGCAUGAGGCAAAUGUAGGAAAGAGGUAGGAUGGCCACUUGUCUGGUGCAGCGGAGGGAUAGAUGUGGCUCAUCACUAAGCACAGAGUAAAUAGAGCUUGUUUUUACCUUUUUGCUGACAUGUUUCAGCUCUCUCUGUAGCCUUCAUUGCAGUGUCUUCAACGCUGGUGGCAUCACUUCUGUCUCUGUUUAUCUGUGGGCAGCAGAGGAUGAUAUUAUCCUCUACUGCUCACUCCUUCCCCGUUGAUCACCCUGUCCCAUGAAUGAUCCAUUUUGUAUACUUCUUCAUCCAUGUUCAUGGUUCUGGGUCCACGUCUCCUUAUUUUAAUUGCUUCUUGUAUCCAUAUUUUAUAUUUCUGUUGUUCUUUGUUUUUGAUCCCAAUUCAAUUAAAUUCAGUUAAUUUUUAUAGCGCCAAAUCACAAGAAGUCAUCUAAAGGCACUUCACAAAGUAAACAUUCAUACAGUUCAUUUCAUUAAGCAAGUCAGUAAAAAGUGUCCUAUCCUCCUCCCCUCUCCUGGGACUUCUUGUGCUACUACACAUCUUUGCCUACCCUCCCCCGUCACACUUGGUGUGGAGUGUGGUACCUUGGUCUGCCUGAGUGUUGGCGGCUCCCAGGUCAGGGGAUUUAAGAUUUUUGGCAUCUGCCUGAUUAAUCCCAGUGGCUGCCUGGUGGGAUCUGAGUCCCUGGGCUCUGUUUGGUCCCCGGCGGGGCUGGUCACCCCUGGGUCUCGGGUCACUGGGUUCCGGGCUUGGCCGGCUUGGGGAUGGGAGGCUGCGAGCGGGCCUGUGGGCUUGCCGCUGAUGUCUCCCGGGACUCUGCCGGCUGCUGAUUGUGGCCCCCCAGGGCAAUCCUCUGUGUCUCUGGAGGGGGGCACGGACUUUUCUGGUUACAGUCUCCCUGGGCUUCCUGCGCUUUGGGGCAGCUCCUGGAUCUCUGGGACUUGGAGCUCCCUCCAUCUCCUACACAUCUUUGGGGGCAGAUCGGUGUCCUCUCACACUCUCUAUUGGGUGCUCCUAUAGAGAAACCUUAAAUAUACAAGUGCAUGUACGCACACAGGUGCUCACAUAGGUGUGGACUUGGGCAUUUUCAACACAUGUCUUAAGGCUGCGGUUGGCACUAAAUGCACUAUGAUGUAUUAUCGUGUGAUUGUUCAGCAAAAAAAAAUUGAUUUUAUAUUUCCUCAUCAGUUUGAUGCAGUGAUAGCUUGCUCCUGUUGUAUUGUUGUGUGUCCCUUUCCUGCAGGUCUCGAAGCAGACUCUUGUUCAUCAUUGACUGUUCAUCUUUUGGGUUUUUUCAUUGCUGCUAUUGUUUUGUUUUUCUUUUGUACCUUUGAUGUACAGAAGGGUUAUCACUGGUUUUGGCAUGGGGCAUGGUGAUCAGUGGGAAAGGUGCAGGCUGUAGAGGGCGAUGUUGUUGUUGGCUGUGAUGCUGCCCACAGAAAAACAUACAAAAGUGAUGCCACCAACAUUGGUAAAGCUCUGACAAAUGCUAAAUUUCCAGUAUCCUGAGAAGGCAGAAAUAAACUGGCUAAAUUAAAAAAAUAAAUAAAACAGUAGAAAAAAGUUACAUAAAUUGCAUGAUGCCUUUAAUAAUGACUAAAUCACUACAUGUGAUAUCUCAUCAAAAUAAAAGCCCUUCAGCGGUUUGUAAAGUCAGUCAAAGUCUUUCAUUUUGAAACAUUUGAAGGCAAAUCACUUAAAACUACAGCAGGAAGGGGUUUAAUUAUGACAAAAUUGAGUGGAUUAAAUUGGAAAUAAGUAAUACUUGCAUUUUGUACUCAUCUUCCUCUUCUCUGGAUCCAGAUCACGAUGAAGCAGCCCUAGCAUGAAAGCCCGUACCUUCUUUUUCCCAGUCCCUUUUCACCAGCUCCUGCAGUAAAAGCCCUGAGCAGUCCUGAGCCAGCCUUGAGAUCUAAUCCCUCCAGCAUGUCCUGGGUCAACCCAGAGGCCUCCUGUCAGCAGGAGAUGCCUGAAACACUUACCCCAGGAGGUGUCCAGGAGGCAGCUCUGUGUCAGAGAUCCUCACCCUAUCUUUAAGGCUUUAUCUUUUUUAUUUCACUGCUCUGUUAGUCCAGAACUGAUGAUCAUAGGUGAGUGUUGGAGCGAAGACCGACUAAGUUCACCAUUUAUUUUUUAGUCUGCCUUAGCUUCUAUUAUCACAACAGAACUUUAGUUUUUAUAUCUUUUCCAUAUGAUUUUUUGGUGUUUGUCAGAACUGAUUGUGUUCAUCGUUUUUUAAAGGCAAAGUUCACUAAGCAACCUUUUUUUAUUUGUUAUUUUUCAAAUAUUGUCAGUCACUCUGAGUCUUAGAUGCAGGCUGAACAUGAAAACAGUCUUCUACCCUUAUUUCCUGCAAGAGCUGGCAAUAAAAAUCAGUUGUGAAAAUGCUCAGAUUAGAAAAGCCUGUCAGAUCUACGUUAUGCAGAAAAUUAUCAUUCAUAGACUCACCAAUCUUUGGUUGUGAAGGGGAAGGGUGUAGAUUUAGCAUCCAGGUAAGAUCACUUUCAGCUAGUGGAAGCUAACCGUUAGCAUUAACAACUCCACCACACAGCAGAACUCAUUCAGGUUUGUGUUAUUUGUGGAGAUAAUACAUCAGUGUUGCAAAGCAAACAAAGUCAGUGGCAGAGUUGCGUUGCUGUUAGCUAAUCAGAGGCAAGAUGUCUGGAUAUCAGGUGGGACGCAUUUUAACAGUUGUGUCGAAGAGAACAUGCCUCUCAAGAUUUGCUUGGCCUAUUGUGGGACGGUACAUAUGAGCAAAAUCUGAGGCGACAUUUUAAUAAAUUUGUACUUAUAACAUGUUACUUAUCCAUUUGUUUCCUUAACAAAAUUAUGAUUUAUGGGCAGACAAAUGAAAUACAUGACAAUUUGAAAAAAAUAAUAACAAAUCUUUUAAAUGUUUGUAUCUGUGCUGAUCCGAGCUGAGACUCUGCCCGUUUUUUGGUCACAAACCUCUGCGACCAAAGACUCUCCUAUUAUUUGUAUUAGUGGGGGAUCCAGCUUGCAUGGACCAGUAGCAUAAAUCAAUGCAAGAAAUUACUGCACCCAAAAGGAACUACAAAUAUAAGGGCUGCAUGGUGGCGCAGUGGUUAGCACUGUUGCUUCGCAGCACGAAGGUUGCAGGUUCGAAACUCGGCUGCUGCCUUUCUGUGUGGAGUUGCGCGUUCUCCCCAUGCAUGCGUGGGUUUCCUCCGUGUACUCUGGUUUCCCCCACUGAUCACAACAUGCCCUAUAGGUUAUAAAUUGUAAGUUGCUUUGGAUAAAAGCGUCUGCCAAAUAAAUAAACAUAAACAUAAAUAUGACACAAGACGAUUCGGCCGUGGUAAAAGUGUGAAAGAACAUUUUUAAACUUAAAUGCAUAUUAUACAUAGCACUUAUAGUCUGUAUGACACAUAAAUUCUUUAGUUUCAUUUUCAUGUUUUUUUUAAUAUUUUGUGAUUCCUAACAUCUUUUUUUCCUGUGAGACUGAUGGGACAGCAGUAGCUCAGGAGGUAGAGCAGGUUGUCCAGUAAUUGGAAUGUUGCAGGUUCGAUCCCGUCUCCAACCAGAUGCUGCCUUUGUGUCCUUGGACAAGACAGAGGGACCGGUCGCGCCAGUGUUCGGCAGGCCUUGCCCCUGUCAGUGCGCCGCAGGGCGGCUGUGGCUACAUCGUAGCUCAUCAUCAUCAGCGUGUGAAGGACUGAUUGUGUUGUGAAGCACAGCUGGGGGUUGUUAGAAGGUGAUAUACAAAUGCAGCCAUUUACUGCAAAUAUCAGAACAACUUUUAAUAAUCUUUCAAACUUGAUUCUAUGAUUUUUCAGUUUUGCCUAUUUUCUUAUGUUAGUUUUAUGUUUUUCACAUGCAGACACACAGAAACGGAGAUUCAAUUUACUAAUUAAUUGUCAUUGUUUGAAAAGAACAGUGAGUCAAAUGUAGGAAAGAAGAAUCUGGAGGUAAAGUAAAAUAAAAAAGGCUUUUAUCCUCUUAAAUUGGAUAAUCCAAGGAAUCAAUUCCAGUGAUACGAGAUUACAAUAUAAUUAUAUUCUUUGAAAAUAUUUGAAAAAAAAAAAAGAAA